rnacentral:rRNA from 1 species
CCUACGGGUGGCAGCAGUAGGGAAUUUUCGUCAAUGGGCGCAAGCCUGAACGAGCAAUGCCGCGUGAACGAGGAAGGCCUUCGGAUCGUAAAGUUCUGUUGAAGGGGAAAAAGAGCGGAGAGAGGAAAUGCUUUCUGAUUGAUAUUACCCUUCGAGGAAGUCACGGCUAACUACGUGCCAGCAGCCGCGGGAAUACGUAGGUGGCGAGCGUUAUCCGGAAUGGUUGGGCGGAAAGGGUGCGUAGGCGGCUUGCUAAGUCUGGAGUGAAAGGGUCCGGCUUAAACCGGAAAUGGCAAUGGAUACUGGCGGGCUAGAGAGCAGGAGAGGGCGGUGGAACUCCAUGUGUAGCGGUAAAAUGCGUAGAUAUAUGGAAGAACACCAGUGGCGAAGGCGGCCGCCUGGCCUGUUACUGACGCUGAGGCACGAAAGCGUGGGGAGCAAAUAGGAUUAGAUACCCCAGUAGUC